rnacentral:lncRNA from 1 species
GUCGUCGGCUGGCGCAUGCUCCCUUACAUACAAGCACGUAAGUCGCCACGCGCGCAUGCUCCUUUACAUACAAGCACGUAAGUCGCCACGCGCGCAUGCUCCUUUACAUACGAGCACGUAAGUCGCCACGCGCGCAUGCUCCUCUACAUACGAGCACCUAAGUCGCCACGCGCGCAUGCUCUUUUACAUACGAGCACGUAAGUCGCCAAGCGCGCAUGCUCCCUUACUUAGGAGCACGUAAGUCGCCGGCUGGCGCAAGCUCUUUUACAUACGAGCACGUAAGUCGCCACGCGCGCAUGCUCCUUUACUUACGAGUGAGCACACACGCGCUAGCAGUCGCAUGCUCCUCUACAUACGAGCCCGUUAGGCGCCUCGCGCGCAUACUCCACUAAUUAUGAGCACGUAAGUCGUCAUGUACGCAAGCUCUUUUGCAUAACAACGUCGAUCUCCAUACGAGUCUGUUGUUCUACAUACGAUCAUCUCAGCCUCCAUGCGAGCCUUGCUGUUGCACAUAUAAGCACGCUAAUCUUCACGCGACCCUGCUGCUUUACAUACGAGCGUGUGUAUCGCCCGGGCGCGCAUGC